rnacentral:tRNA from 2 species
AAGGUUUUAAGUUAAUUAAACUAAUAGCCUUCAAAGCUAUAAAUAAAACUGUGUUUUAAGCCUUA